rnacentral:rRNA from 1 species
GACGAACGCUGGCGGCGUGCUUAACACAUGCAAGUCGAACGGAAAGGCCCUGCUUUUGUGGGGUGCUCGAGUGGCGAACGGGUGAGUAACACGUGAGUAACCUGCCCUUGACUUUGGGAUAACUUCAGGAAACUGGGGCUAAUACCGGAUAGGAGCUCCUGCUGCAUGGUGGGGGUUGGAAAGUUUCGGCGGGUGGGGAUGGACUCGCGGGCUAUCAGCUUGUUGGGGGGGGAGUGGCUUACCAAGGCUUUGACGGGUAGCCGGCCUGGGGGGGUGGCCGGCCAACAUGGGGCUGGGAAACGGCCCAGACCCCUACGGGAGGCAGCAGUGGGGAAUUUUGCACAAGGGGCGCAAGCCGGAAGCAGGCAGCCCGCGGGGGGGAUGACGGGCUUCGGGUUGUAAACCCCGUUCGCCAGGGACGAAGCUUUGUGUGACGGUAACUAGAAAAGAAGCACCGGCUAACUACGUG